UUAAUAAUCAGGGCAGGGGCGGGGGUAGGGAAAAAAUCAAAACCCGAUUAAUAAUCGGGGCAGGGGCGAGUUUAGCCUUCUCCACCCCGAACCCAACCCGAUUACCCAAUUAUGUGUAAAAAAUUAAAAUUAUACCUAUUUUUUUAAAAAAUAUACCAUAUAUCCUUACUAUAUAUAUAUAUAUAUAUAUUUAAUAAUUAUAUAAAUAAAUAUAUAUAAUUAAAAAAAUUAUUAAACGGGGCGGGCGGGGGUGGGUUUUCGUAAACGGGGCGGAGGUGAGGGAGAAAUUUAUUAAACGGAGUGGAGGUGGGGAGGCCGAACCCGCCCCGUUGCCAUCCCUACCCAAGCCUUAUCCAUCAAAGGCUUACUAGGCCUGUAAUGCGUAAUGGCCGAGGCUCAUGCUCGAUGUGGCCCAUAAGUUUUUAUAUUUCUUUAAAUGUUUUUAAUAUUGUAAAAACAUUACAAUAAUAGAAAAUAACGAAAAGCUUCAAUUGUAUUAAUCAACAAUACAUCAAUGUAUAAUAUAACAUAUAUCUAACUAAGAAAAAAUAAAUAAAUAAAUAUCAAAAGGGAAUAAAUUAUGGAUAGUUUCCUAAUCUAAUUAGGAAACGAAUCUCUUAAUAACAACAUCUUCCUAAUUUAAUGAGAAAACGAAUCUCCUAAUUUCAAUACUUCCCCUCAAAUUGAGGCGAAGAUAUCGACGAGCCCCAACUUAAUAAAAGAUAACUUCAGCAAAUAGAGUCCAAGAUUGAGUGAAUAUAUCAGCAGUCUGGGCAAAAGAUGGGAUAAAACGAGGAGUAAUAACCCCAGAACGAACUUUUUCCCAAAAGAAAUGAAUCAACUUCGAUGUGAUUCAUUCUCUCAUAAAAACCUGAAUUAGAAGAUAAUAUGAUAGUAGACUUGUUAUCACAGAAUAAGAAAGAUGAGUCUGUCACUUAGAAGCUCAACUCAUUCAAGAGAGAUCGAAGCUAAAGAAGCUCACUUGUGCCUUGAGUCAUGGCAUGGUACUCAACUUCGGUAGAAGCCCUAGAGACCACCACUUACUUAUUACUUUUUCAGAAUAUGAGAUCACUAUCACGAAAAGUAUAGAUCCCGCAUAGUCAGCAUCAGUAAAGUAUGAAAGACUCAACUAGGUUUCAGACUAAUAGAACAACCCAAGAUCAUGACACGUCUUAAGGUAUCGGAGAAUGUGAUAUACAACAUCUAGAUAAAAGGUACGUAGUGAGUGCAUAAACUGGCUCACAAUACUUAUAACAAACAUGAGGUUAGGCCUUAUAUUUGCCAAGUAAACAAGGCGAUCCAAAAGCCGCUAAUAGAUGGAUGGAUCUAGUAACAAUUUUCUUGACUCAGCCGAUAUCUUCAGAUGUUAUACCAUAGGUGUAGAUGCAGGUUUACACUCAAGCAUGCUUGUAUAUUGAAGAAGGUCAAGAGAAUACUUUCGCUGAGAGAGAGAUAUACCUUGGCAAGACCAAGUAACCUCAAUACCAAGAAAGUAACAAAGAGAACCUUGAUCCUUAAUGUCAAAAGCCUUCCUGAGGCCAUCUUUCACUUGAAUAAUACCAAAAGUAUCGUCUCCCGUGAUAAUGAUAUCGUUAAUAUAAACUAAGAUAAUAAUGUAUCGACCCUGAAACUGGCGACAAAUAAACAAGUAUGCUUUGAGAAGAACGGAACAAGCCUCAUAGACAAGCCUACCUCACUAAAGCGGUGGAACCAAGCCUGAGGAGACUGCUUAAGGCCAUAGAUAGAUUUUCAGAGGCAACAAAUAUUACCCGAAUACUCUCCCUAAGCCCGUAAACCUAGAGGCAGAUCUAUAUAUAUAGUCUUAAAAAUAUCACCAUUAAGGAAUGGAUUUUUAAAAUCCAAUUUGUAAAAAGGCCACGAAUAAGAAGCAGCAAGGGAAACUAUGAGGCAAAUGAUGUUUAAUUUGGCAACGGGGGAAAAAAUGGCACCCAAAUAUUGCCUGUAAUUUGGGUAAAGCCUUUAGCAACAAGGUGAACUUUAUAUCUAUCCAUUGAGCCAUCCGCCAAAUACUUCACACUAAACACCCAUUUAUAACCAAUAGUUCUCUUCCCUUUUGGCAAAGCAACAGAUCCCAAGUUCGAUUGUGCUGAAAGGCAUCCAUCUCGACCUUCAUUGUCGACACACAUAAAGGAUUUAGAAGAGUUUCAUGGACAGAGCGAGGAAUCAAGCCCAAGUCCACUUGACUCAAAAAAGACUGAUAAGAGUCUGAAAGACCUUGGUCAAACAAAUAAUGCGCAAUAGUGUGAUUAGUAUUGUUUGAAAGAAGAAAAUGAGAGAGAGGAAGACGAACACGUGUAGGAUAACGAGGAAAAGGAAUAUCAGAAAACUAAAGGAGAAAAGACAUUUGAAUCCGGAGAAGAUGCUAGCAGGGGAGCUGAAGCAUUCAAACAACAAAGGUAGACCUGUGAGGGGUCAGUAGUAACAAUAGAGGGCAGAGAAAUGAUUGGAUCAUAACACCAAUACCUCUUAGACAUUAAGGAAUACUUGAGAAAGACACAACAAAUAGCCUUAUCAUCAAGUUUGGUACUAGGGAGGCUCUUGACUUGAACAAAGCAUGUACAUCUGGAAACACAUUGGCGGAUAAGGAAUAAGAUACUAGCAAAAUUAAGGAUAUUGAGUAGUGCCUUGCCGUGUAUUACCCGACUAAGAGUGCGAUUGAUAAUGUAGGUGUCAAUGAGGACAGCCCUGUGCUAGAAAUAUUUAGGAACUCCCAUCCCCUUUAAGAAACACUAGACCAUAGAUAAAUUGAUGAUUUUUUUUCUCCGAAACACCAUUCUGCUCAUUGGGUAUAAGGACAAGUGUGUUGCUGGAGUAUACCACGUUUAUUAAGUUCAGUUCGAAACUCAUUCGUGAUAUACUCACGAUUAUUAUUUGAUCGGAUAAUGUGCACAAUUGUGUUAUACUGAGUUUUGAUCAUUUGUAGAAAAUGGAUAAAGUGGGAGAAAACCUCAGAUUUAUGGCGCAUCAGAUAGACCCAAGUACAAUGAGUGUAGUCAUCUAUAAAAGUGACAUAAUAAUGAUGUUAAGAGAGUAGUAACUGGAGACCGGUCCCCAGACAUUUAAGUGAAUAAGGUCAAAGGCACUAGGUGCAUGAUCCAUGCGAGGAAUAUAAGAGGUGCAAGUAUGUUUAGACAAUUCAUAAAUGACACAUUUAAAAUUAACUUUAUGGCAUGCUUUAUUCAUGGGGGAAAAAAAAUCAAUAUAAAUACUGAAAAUUUGUAUGUCCUAAACAAGCAUGCCAUAGAUUUAAAAUUUUAAUAACAAAAAUAGACGAAUUUAAAAUUGACAGACUUAAAAUGGAGGGCUCUAAGAGUGGUAGAGUAAAGGCUUGAAGAUUAGAGAACAAAUCACUAGAUGUUGACGGAUCCCCAAAAUAGUAUAGUCCAUUACGCUCAUACCUCUUGUCAAAAAUCUUCUUCGAAGUCAGGUCCUGCAAGAAAUAACGAGAUGGUAAGAAGACAACAUCAUAAUUAAACUUUUUAGCAAUACGACUAAUAAAAAGAAAAUUAUAGGUAAAAUUCAGAACAUAAAAUAUUUAAGGAUAAGAGGGCAUCAUACUGACUAUGAAUGAGAAUAGAUGAUCCACUAACAACACAAAUAGACUGAUUAAUAGAAGUAACAUGAGAGGUAAAGGUAAAAAGCUCAUUAGUCAUGUGAUUAUUAGCCCCAGAAUUUAUAAUUCAAGUGGGGUGACCUAACUUACCAUGAAGGACGGUAGGAGUCCCUGAAGUCCAAUUUCGACUGUAGUUGAGCAAUUUGAGUCUGAAGUUGAUUGAAAUCAAGUAACUCAGCAUGCAUUGGUUCUACUUCUACAAUAGCGCCAACUCACGGAGUUCCACAACCACUACCACAGCCGUGACCACCCACACGACUGCCACCUAAGUUUUGAUUUAACUGUGGUUUUAACUCAAGAUGUUUAACUCAAGAUGUAGAUCAAAGCAGCGAUCAAUACGGUGAUCGUGCUCGCGACAGUACUGGUAAUAUGGGUGAGUUCCGAAAGGAGCAACCAAGGAUGUCUGAUCCGGAGCAAUAGGAGAGGUCUCAAGUAGAUAAAUAGCUGGUAAAAGGCGGUGACUCCAUUCAUCACCAUCAAUAGUAGCGAACACCUCGUAUAGGGAUGGCAAAAGUGAUAUGUUUAAAAUCUGAGUUCGAAGAGACUCAAACUCAGGUUUUAAAAAAUCAAAAAUUGAUAUGUAUGCCGACGAUUAAGGCGUUUGGACUUAACAGCCCCAUCAUUAGGAAAAUCUCUAAGGGGCUUGUAUUGGGCUAAUUCUUCCCAUCUAGUCUAGAUGUAUCCAAAAUAAUCAACAACAGAGAGUCCUAAGGUAGGCUGAGAGGUAUUAGAGAUAUCAUUGUAGAGUUCAAAGAUCGUGGACUCAUUGCGGGCAUGAGCAUAUAUCUGAUUCAAAGCAGUUUAUAAAUCAUGGACGGUAUCAUGAUACAUAAACAUAUGGUAUACUCAGUCCUCAAUCGAGUUAAAUAUCCAACCCAAAACGAUACAGUUAUCUGCAUUCCACUCAUCAAACUUUGAAUCGAAUUUAGUCAGCUUAAGUUCUUUCCCAAGAAUCCAGCGGGUCUUGCACUUUCCACUAAGGUAGAGUCGAAAACAGUGAGGCCAAGCAUGAAAGUUCUUUCCAUUCAAUAACACGCUCAUGACACGUUGAGUUGGUUUGGAAUGAGAAAGAAAAGCAGGAAUUGGACUCGGACCAAUAGGAAUCAAAACAACUGGAGCAACUUCUUGGUUGGGCUAGCCAUCAAAGCAACACCCCGAACAAUCACAGGGAAUAUGAUACGGUGGUGUGACAGAGGUUGCUUUGGACUGGCUGGAAGAUUGGAUGACUGGCUGGAUGUGUGACUGAAUUAAUCUUAUCUUUUUUAUAUAUAAUAUUCUCAACGCACUUUACAAAAUAAAUGAUUGAUUGUAAGCUCCCAUACCACCCACUUUAAUCUAGAGUUUACAUCCUAAACUCAAAUAUAUAAAGAGAGAGACACUUGUCCAUUACAAAACACGGUGUCACACUCACAAAGUUGGGAAAGUAUUUCUUCUGUUUGUUUUUUAAUCCCCAUUUGACAUGGCGUUAUGCUUGAGGAUAAGCUGUUUGGUUUGUUUGUACAUUUGUGGUGUUGCUGUUGUACACAAAAGUAGCAUCACCAUCAUCUUCAUCAUCCUCCAUUCUCAACCACCAAACCCUCCAUAGCUCGCCCUUAUUAAGAACAAACCCCCCACCCAUCCUCUUGUGGGCACUGACUGGCCACUGGGCCUUAGGCCCAUCACAUAUCAACACUUGGAAAACGGUAAAAAAUUCACGGCCAUCAAUUUUGGCGUCAACAGUUUUUGCAUCAAAUCAUUGGAAUGUGCCCUGUGUUUGGUUAGUUGCUUUUCUAAAAAGUCACAAGACCUAAAAAGUUAUUCAAUGGUCCGGACUAACAAGUCAGUUUUGUGGCUACAAAAAAAUAAAAACGCCGUUCACUUUCAUUGAGCUGAUUCAGGAUAGUAAAAGGUCAUGCUAACUAUCCCCGGUCAUUAGGUAGUGAGUGAUCAGCAAUUUUCUUCAGUAAAAGCUCGAGUCCCACUCUACAGUAUAAGAAUGUUUCCUGUAACAUUUUUAGUUUGAUUUUUUUUUUCUGUUUUAAAAGUUAUACGAGAGUAUUGGUCAUGAAAGACAAAAAAAAAUAGCUAAUUUAUUUAGUAAAAAAAUAUAUUUUUUGUCUUUAGUUAAUUUUUUUUCGUAUUUAAAUAAAAAAAUAUAUUUUUAAACUCAUCUUGUUAAAAAAAAUUAUAAAAUUUUAAUUAAAUAACUGAAAAAGUUUACUGAUUAUGGAAAAAAUUGAGCCAGAAAACAACUAACAAAUUUAUUAAAGGGUGAAUUACACUGACUUCCCUGAGGUUUACUUUUAAUACACAAAGUAUCCCUGAAGUUUCAAAAAUUACAAUGACCUCCCCUGAGAUUUGAGAGAAUAUCCUAACACCCCUGACACCCUUGUCUCCUUAGGAAAAUGACCAAAAUACCCCCCAUUUUAACAAAAAAUAAAUUCUCUUUUUAUUAUUUUUUUCUUUUUUUUCUUUUAAUACCUUUUUUUUCUUUUUAUUAUUUUUUUAAUACCCUUUUAUUUUUUAAAUAAGAGAAAAAAAUAAAAAAAAUUUGGAAAAUAACUAAAAAAAAUUAAUAGUAAAAAAUAAAUAAAUAAAUACAAAAAACUCAAAAAAAUGAGAGAGAGGGUGGAGAGAUAGGGGGUAUUUUGGUCAUUUUGGUAAGGAGACAAGGGUGGAAAGGGGUGGAAGGAUAUUCUCUCAAACUUUAGGGGAGUUCAGUGUAUUUUUUGAAACAUCAGGGGUAUUUUGUGUAUUAAAGACAAACCUCAGGGGAAGUAAGUGUAAUAGACCCUACCGAAUUGGGCCUACUCAGAUAUUUUAGCAAAGGAAUAUGGUAUGAGCACGUUCGGACCCUAUCGAGUUGGACGACGAAGACCUGGGCACUGGGCCCCACUGGUUUAUUAAACUGAGAUUGUGGGGACACAUGCCAUUAAUCUGAUACACGGGAUCAGUCAACGACUAAACAGUAGGCCAACACAUAGGCUUUGUUUGGAACUCGUGCAAAGAGAAAGAAAAGAAGAAUUUAAAGAGAAUUAUAGAUUAUUUGGUUCAAUUUUCAUAAUUAAUUUUGGAUAAUAAAUUUUUUUCAUGAUUUUACAAGGAAAUAUAAUAAAAAGAAAAAAUAUUUAGUUUGAAAUAAAUCUAAAUAAAUAAUAAAGAAAAAAGGUGUUAAAUUAAGCUUUUCCAAUUUUUUUUGUUAAAUUUGGCACAAAUUUGUAUAAAGCCAAAUUUGCAAGGAUAAUAACAUUCUAAAAAUAUUACUUUUAAAAUAAUAUUAUUUUUAGUCAGAAAAUUGCUAGAAAUAUUUUAUAAAUAAUUUCAAUUAUUUUGGAUUUUUUUGAUGUUUUGGUCUACUAGGUUUUUUAUUUUUAGUAAUUAUUUUUUAUCUUUUUAUCAGAAUUUUAUAUUUUUACGGUCUCUUUUGAUGAGAAGAGUUUGAAGUAAAAGAAUCAACAAUUUUAGAAAAAUCCACUACAAAUAUUUGUUUUCAAUCUUUUAUGAUUUUUUCUAAAUUGUAUGAAAAAUCUUAGAUUUUAAACUCUUCUAAUAAUUCAUUAAAAAAAUUAUUUUAAACAUAUAAUUCAUAUGUCAAUUACAAAUUUUAAAUAUAACGGUCAAUUUUGAAAAUCCAUAACCAAUAGACAGUGCUAGUGAAUUCAUUACGUACGGACAUGCCAUUGUCCGAAGCUGAGAAAACAACCCUUGGACGUCAAUAGCCUGUAGUAAUGACAUAAAUAAUAAUAAAUAUAAUAAUAAUAAUAAUAAUAAUAUAAUAGUUCUAUUAUUGUUAUAUUCUUUAUUUUGGUACAGCGUGACUAAUUUUCAAGCAAAUUGUAAUUGUGUUUAUUUGGUUGAAUUUUAGGCUUAACUACUUGUGGAGAGUUUGUUGUUGGAUAGAAAAUAUUUGUAUUUAUUACAAAACUUUCGAAAAGAGCAUCCAGCCGAUCAGAUUUUCAUUUAUUUUUCUAUUAGUUUGUUUUGGUUGUAUUUAGGUUAAUGAUUUAUAGAUAGAUUUGUAAGAAAAUAAAAUUAACAAAAAAUGAUUAAAUUUGAAUCGUUAGAUCUAUUAACAUUUUCCUUUCCCUUUCAUUUUCAUUCUCCAAAUCGUAAAUCCAAAACAAUCUUAGAUUGUGUUUGGAUUAAUGAUUUGGUGAAGAGAAAAGAAAAAAAAAAACUUAAAAGAUAGAUCUAAUGUUUCUGAAAAGUUGACUUGCUCUUAAUUUCUUUUUAAUGUUUUGGAUAAUUUCUUCGUCAUUUUUGGAAAGUGAAGUUUUUUUACACUUUUUUAUUUUUUAUUUUUAUUUUUUAAAAAUACUUUUUCUGAAAAAAACUAGUAUAAUAAACAUGUUUGGUACAAGUGUUUAAAAAUUUGUCAAGUGAGAGGUGUCUGUAGGGGCAUUAGCGUGGCUCUGGAGGAAGUGGCCGGAGUGGGGUCGUCAUCGGAAGGUUGCCAGAUAUUGUGUUGAUCUCUCCUACUUAUGUAACUGCACCAACUCCAUUCCUACUAAAUACAUUGAGUAUCCAAUUAUGCUAAAUUGCUAUGUAUAAACAUGGUAAUAGCACUCAUUAUUUAGGCGUACAAGUAAAACUAAGUUGAAUUAGAGGGAGCAAUUAUGCUAAAUUGUUGCAGAUCCUCCAUUCCCUUCAGCUUAACAUCACAAAGCUUAAUCAUCCAGAAUGAUUGCUGCAGAUCCUCCACCCAUAAAAUUGGUGUUUAUGUGAAUAUGAAGUGUGACCACUUCUUUAAAAAUUUGAAAAGGCAAAAUUUUUGAGAAAAUACUUGCAAAAUCAGGAAAAAGUAUUCCAAGACCAAAAUAGACACAAUAGUAAGAACUGAACUGUGUCAUGAGAAGUUUUUAUGUGACGUUUAUUGUCUCAAUUUACAUCGGUGGUUGCACAAUUCAAGGCAGGCUCGCCCACUGAUCUCCUAGUAAAUUGGAUAGACUCCCACAAGAGAAGAUUUAAGGCCAAAAACUACCUAUCUUUACAGGAAUUAUCCAUUAUCUCUCUCAUAUUUCCAUCAUUCUAAAUGAAAUUUUCAUUCAUGGAGAGAUUGUUAAAAAUUUAUGGUGCGAAUGAAUGGCCAAAGGGCUGCAGUUUUUAGCCCCUUUAAUGACAGCAUUUUAUAACUCUAAUGGCUGCACUAUUUGAAGCCAUAAAUAGCCUCUAACGGUUGUCAUAAUAUAAUAAUAGCUAUAAUCGCCCUCAUGAUGAGAGUUUAUGGUUGUGAGUUUUUAAUUUGAAAGAUCAUUUUUUUUAUAAAAAGUUGAGAAUUUGAGAUAAAAAAACGCAACAACAAAAGCAUAAAAUAUUUUAUGAGUUUAGAGAGAGAGAGAGCGCAACAGACAAACUAAAAGUUCGCCAAGGCUGCUACGGUGGUAUUUUUGUAGUCCGCGGUUAUACUGGAAGGAAGACAUCGGCAAACUCCUACAACACUCUCAGUAAGCGGCGAAUCUUUUUUAAGGAGAAUGCGAUUGCAGGACUCGGUCUAAAUUUAUUUGUAUCUCUUUUAAUUUAGUUUCUUUAUUUAUUUUCUAUAAAUUCAAUUUACUGUAUAUUAUUGUGAUAAAUAAAAAUUAUUUUUUGAAAUUAUAUAUUUGCCGAAUAUUUUUUCAAUAGAACAUAAAUAAGUUGCUGAACCUCAUAAAUUAUUGUGUCUGCAUGUGUUUCCGUACUCUUGCACAGUUAGGUGCAUACUUCAAUUAUUGAAGACAUAUUCUUCCGCAUACUACUUUUGAUUAUUUUUGGCUGGAUUCCACACUACUUUUUUGACUAUUACACCUGCGAAAAAGAUUUAUUGAAGACAUAUUCUUCCAAUAAUUCUGCCAGAAAUAUAAUCAAGAACUAAGAAAAUAACUUUUUAUGUUGCACUGGUGCUUUAUCCUAUAAAAUUUUACUAAUAUAUUUCUAUUAAAAUCUGACUAUUAUAUUUCUAUUCAAAUGUUACUUUAUACCAUUUAUUAAUAAUGAGAAAACUUUUUACAUAUUAUUUCAUGUCUUCGAUAUUUUUAUUUAUUAUAUGACUUUAUAGAAAUAAGUCACGUGAUCGUUAAUUAUGACUUAAAACAAAAUAAUUGAUUAACAUGAUGCGUGAAAAAAAUAUAAUUUAAGUAAAAGCAUAAAGGUGUAGGUAGGGUAUAAUUUUUUCAUAAUUCUAUAAAAAUGUUUUUGACAUUUAGAUCACACGGUGAGUGAAUUCAAAAUAAGUGUUUCGCCUUUCAUCCCUACUUUGAAUCACCUCUAAUUGGUCUUUUAAGAGUUUAUUAGUAGUCUCUUAACAUUUUUGGUGGUCUCACUAUAUGUGAGAUAAUUAAUUUGCUUGUUAACUCCAACGAGUACCUAAUAGAAAGCAUGGGCUAAAAUAUGUUAAAUGAAAGAGAGGGG
rnacentral:lncRNA from 1 species